GCUUAUAUGAUGAAUACUAUAUUAAUUUCUGACACCUCUUCUGAACCGUUGUGAGGUAAUCUAUAAGUUAAAUCUGACAUC